rnacentral:rRNA from 1 species
ACUCGCUGAAUUUAAGCAUAUAAUUAAGCGAAGGAAAAGAAAAUAACUAUGAUUCCCUCAGUAAGGGCGACUGAAGCGGGAAGAGCUCAUUCUGUGAAUCUCUGCUUCAUGCAGAGAGUUGUGGAGAGGUACGCUUGUCUUGGCCUUAGCUUAAAUCUCUUGGAACAGGGUGCCUAUGAGGGUGAGAGCCCCGUAUAGCUUCUGGCCUUGGCUUUAACGUGUACUUCAUACGAGUCGAGUUGCUUGGGAUUGCAGCUCUAAGUGGGUGGUAAACUCCAUCUAAAGCUAAAUAUUGGCGUGACACCGAUAGCAAACAAGUACCGUGAGGGAAAGAUGCAAAGAACUUUGAAAAGAGAGUUAAAGAGUACCUGAAAUUGUUGAAAUGGAAGCGAAGGAAAUCAGUGCUAUUCAUUACUAUUUUUCCAGCCUUACUUGUGAGGUUGGCGCUGUGGUGCUGAAUAAGCCAGUGUGGGUUUACACCGGGGGAAGACGCUCUUCAGAAGGCAGCUAGAUUUCCUAGCGAUUACUGUUGGGUUGUGCUCUGGUGUAGACUGAGGCUAGUCACUUGUGCUCGUGACACUGGCAAAAUGGUUUUCUUUACCCCGUCUUGAAACACGGACCAAGGA